rnacentral:tRNA from 1 species
UGUAAAAAAGUGUAAGAUGCAUUUGAAAUUUUGAUUUUCAGGGUUUAAGUUUAAUUCUUAAUUUUUCAA